rnacentral:rRNA from 1 species
UACGUAGGGUCCGAGCGUUGUCCGGAAUUACUGGGCGUAAAGAGCUCGUAGGUGGUUUGUCGCGUUGUUCGUGAAAACUCACAGCUUAACUGUGGGCGUGCGGGCGAUACGGGCAGACUAGAGUACUGCAGGGGAGACUGGAAUUCCUGGUGUAGCGGUGGAAUGCGCAGAUAUCAGGAGGAACACCGGUGGCGAAGGCGGAUCUCUGGGCCGAUACUGACGCUGAGGAGCGAAAGCGUGGGGAGCAAACAGG